GCAGGCCGUGACUUCAUCUGGA
rnacentral:miRNA from 1 species